rnacentral:rRNA from 1 species
UACGUAGGGUGCAAGCGUUAAUCGGAAUUACUGGGCGUAAAGCGUGCGCAGGCGGUUAUGUAAGACAGUUGUGAAAUCCCCGGGCUCAACCUGGGAACUGCAUCUGUGACUGCAUAGCUAGAGUACGGUAGAGGGGGAUGGGAUUCCGCGUGUAGCAGUGAAAUGCGUAGAUAUGCGGAGGAACACCGAUGGCGAAGGCAAUCCCCUGGACCUGUACUGACGCUCAUGCACGAAAGCGUGGGGAUCAAACAGG